rnacentral:rRNA from 1 species
AUUGAACGCUGGCGGCAUGCCUUACACAUGCAAGUCGAACGGUAACAGGUCUUCGGAUGCUGACGAGUGGCGAACCGGUGAGUAAUACAUCGGAACGUGCCUAGUAGUGGGGGAUAACUACUCGAAAGAGUGGCUAAUACCGCAUGAGAUCUACGGAUGAAAGCAGGGGAUCGCAAGACCUUGUGCUACUAGAGCGGCCGAUGGCAGAUGAGGUAGUUGGUGGGAUAAAAGCUUACCAAGCCGACGAUCUGUAGCUGGUCUGAGAGGACGAUCAGCCACACUGGGACUGAGACACGGCCCAGACUCCUACGGGAGGCAGCAGUGGGGAAUUUUGGACAAUGGGCGAAAGCCUGAUCCAGCAAUGCCGCGUGCAGGAUGAAGGCCUUCGGGUUGUAAACUGCUUUUGUACGGAACGAAAAGCCCUGGGUUAAUACCCUGGGGUCAUGACGGUACCGUAAGAAUAAGCACCGGCUAACUACGUGCCAGCCGCCGCAGUAACAC